AUUGGCCAUUCAAAGUGGACCUGAAAUAAAGCAGGUAUCUUUAAAGAGGUGGAUCCCAAUGUAGAGAAUGAUGAGUUGCCCAAUGUCUUAUGCGAGAUUUAGAUGGUUGGAAACUUCAAUCAAAAAUCUCAUAGCCUACAAGUUUCAUCUGAACUUUCCACUUAUGUGUGAAUUUGCAGUGGUGGCCAUUAGAGCUAGUUGGCAAACAACUGUCGCUUAUAUAAAUAUUGGGUGUUAUUACAUUGUGGGAUUGCCUACUGCUUUUCUUUUGGGAUUCAAAUUCAAUUUCGGGUUGGAGGUAGGUUAGAAUGACUGCUUAUCUUUCUUAGCAAUCACAUAGAUAUUGGAAAAUUGAUUUGGAUAAUUAGGGGCUUUCCUGUAAUUUUGUAGUAAGUGGUAUUAUAGUUGUCAUUUAUGGUAGGCUUGAUUCUCUGUUACAAUUCUGUAUUUUUGUAUAUGAAAUUUUAUUUAUUUGUCUUUAGUAUUAAGGGAAUUUGGAGUGGAAUGAUUACUGGGAUUGCUCUACAUACCCUCAUCCUUGUAGUAAUCAUGUGGCUUACUGACUGGGAGAAAGAGACAAGUGCAAGCAACAAUAGGACCUCUGAACCUCUAUCAAGAGGGCAAUAUCUAACUCUAAUUCAGGAUUUUAAUCAAUUGUGCCUAAAUUUAGGCUUACAAGCACUUCAGCCUUUGACACCACUUGUGCUAGGAGUAUGCCAUAUAGAGGAUUUGUUUAUUUAUUUAUUUAUAAUUCAAGACCAUUUUCAAUUUAUUGUAAUAAAUAUUAUAUUUUUUUAUUAUGUAGUAAUAUAAAUUUUGUUUAAUAUUCAGUUUUAAUUAUAUUGCAACA